AUUGAACGCUGGCGGCAUGCCUUACACAUGCAAGUCGAACGGUAACAGGUCUUUCGGGAUGCUGACGAGUGGCGAACGGGUGAGUAAUACAACGGAACGUGCCUAGUAGUGGGGGAUAACUACUCGAAAGAGUGGCUAAUACCGCAUGAGAUCUAUGGAUGAAAGCAGGGGACCUUCGGGCCUUGCGCUACUAGAGCGGCCGAUGGCAGAUUAGGUAGUUGGUGGGAUAAAAGCUUACCAAGCCUACGAUCUGUAGCUGGUCUGAGAGGACGAUCAGCCACACUGGGACUGAGACACUGCCCAGACUCCUACGGGAGGCAGCAGUGGGGAAUUUUGGACAAUGGGCGCAAGCCUGUUCCAGCAAUGCCGCGUGCAGGAUGAAGGCCUUCGGGUUGUAAACUGGUUUUGUACGGAACGAAAAGUCUUGGGUUAAUACCCUGGGAUCAUGACGGUACCGUAAGAAUAAGCACCGGCUAACUACGUGCCAGCCGCCGCCGUAACAC
rnacentral:rRNA from 1 species